CGUAUAUAGAGCGCAGCCAAUCCACGUUUGUGUCAUAAGGACGUGCCAUUCCGAAGAGGACGCCUAAGUGAUCAGGGACAACUACUUUCCUGAAAAGUGGGUUCUUAUUUGGUUGGUUCUCCCGUGAGUUUCAGCCCGGCGGAGUCAGGAUGGAGCGGACAGGAAUUUAUUGCCUGCUUCUAACACUACUGGUCCUACUGGCAGUUCACACGUGUUACGGACAGAGGGCAGACCAGCUCAUACGCUACGGCAAAUCCUACCCAGUCCGACCGCGCGCCUUGCCCAAGUCUCCUUUCUACGCUAAAAGGAACGAAGUACUCUUUCAGGACACUAAUGGCAUCUUACCAGAGUACCCUGGGGAAAGUCAGAUGGGUGCCUCCAAGCCUGUUACUGACGAUGAAGAAUUUAUCAAGACACCUUUUGAUUUCGACCCUUUUUCACUCUGGAGAUUGCAGAGACAACGGUUGACGAGAAGCAAGCAGCUGCAAAACUGAUGAUAAUUCUCGCCGAGAGAUUUGCGUUUCCCCCGAACUAAAAUGGUAAAGAUAGCUCUUAUGUUCAAAAUAUAACAAGUCCAAGUUUGCGGAAAAGAAACUGUGCUCAAGUUGUUGUUCAGUUAAAAGGCGAGUCGAAGAAUUGCAAUGUCCUCAAAAAUGAAGCGAGAUUAAAUACUCUUGCAAGGUUAAGAUUUCCAAUCUGAUUUACUUCAGUCAGCAGUCGCCAAAGAGACAACUUUGAAACGAACUGAACAUCAAAUAUUGCAUCAAAAUGUUUGUAAUGCUUCCAAGCCGAUGCCAAACAAGAUAAACAAUGUUACAUAAUAAGCAGUCCAAAUCAAAAUUCUGUAAUAUUUGGAAAGAUAAACUCUUGUUAUGUUUACUGAGAAACGAUUAGAAUUAAAUAAAAAUGUAAACUUGCAAAACCUGGAAGGAAAUAUUUUCAUCUGCGAUUCACACGAUGUUGGACUAUGAAGAGUUUUUGGUUUUCGAUAAAAUUGAAGAUUAUCUUUGUAGAAGAAAUGGCCCGUUCUUGGGAACUAUAACUUUGUCAAUACAAUACAAUUUUGUCUUACAAUAAUGCCUCUCCUGAAUAAAAAAUGUUGUCGGCUCUCCUGUAACUCGUACAAAAGAAAAUGAACCAGCACCGCCAAAGAUACAACAUGAAUCGCAGAGUUCACCACCCUUUCUUUUUAAAGCCAUGCUCAAAGAGGUUUGGACUUGUCUCAAACGAAACGAUCAAGAAACUCUUCUAUAAAAAACACAGGAUAAACAAAUGUGUCACCGUGAUAAGCGUGCCGCAAAUGCAGCCGUAAAUGAAAUACUUAUAAUUUUCUAUUAUGAUGGACUGUCUGACUUCUUGUACGUUAGUGGAAAAGUUAUGUUGAUUGUUUGUAUUGUAGCUUGGGUAUUAUUUACAAUACAUAUUAAUGUUUAACAUCACUUUGUCGUUGGUAACUACUUUAAUAAUUUUUCUCCGUGACUUUUCGCCACGACAUGGCAAGCGCAGUAAAUGUUCCAAAAGUUGUAUCAUCCGACAAAUUUGAAGCCUGUCCUUGAAGUCCAUUGCGAUGGUAUCAUAUUAACAACAUUAGUUUGAAAAAACUGCGUCUUUAAUAAACACCUUGAUCUCUUACGGAUUGUCCCCAGAGUGUCUAAAAUGUAUCACAAGUGAAUAUCAAGAUCGCCCGGGGGCCCUGUCAUAUGCCUGACUUUCAGUGUCAUUUAAAGCUUUCACAAUGCUCACUCCCUGGCUAGUGUGGAGAGCCUACAGAGUGAGGAUUCUUCCUUCACAUUGUCCUUUUAUAAGGAACCAACUGGCACCAUAUCAAGCUAAGAUUAGAUUUCUAUGUAACGUUAACUCUCUGCCCAUAAAGGAGCCUUUUGUGUGCCUAGUUUUUUGGGGUGAUUUUUGUCCAAGAUACAAGGAAUUAAUUCUUCACUGUGGCUUAAAAACCUCCAAUUCCCGUCUUAGGUCAUGCUAAAAAUUACAAACCUCGCCCAAGCCCCCCCCCAAAAAAUAACAAAUGCCAAAGCGAAAACAAACACAACAAACGUUUUUGGAAAUGGUUUUCUUGAUUCUUUAUGAAAGCUGAGUUUUUUGUCUUCAAUUAAUUAAACGUUAAACAAAACAACUGCACCCACACACACGUACCCAUUCACACAAAAUUUUAACCACCAACGUAAAAUAACCACAUGUACUCAUACUGAAAAAAAAGACUGCACCAGAAAGGCCGAUGGUCGGCGCAGUUUUAGCGGAAUAAAUUACUUUUAUGCUGCCACAGCUUAGGUAACCUUGUUAGUCUCACGGGCGAGCAAACCUUUAAACGUGUAGAUGUACACUCUUUGCUCAUUGCUCACAGUCUUGGGCACCGAAACCCGUCUAUGCUAUCACCUGCGGGUGUACCGGUGAAGAUGCUAUUGCCUUGGUGUGCAGAUGGAUCGUAUAAUAUCGAACAGGCAUCCGGCGUCCAACUCAAAAUCGAAAGAUGCGUGUAUAACUCAAGAGCGCUUGGGAAAAGUGGGCUUGGGUGCAAAUUUGUAAGAGGUGGGUGAGUUUGCACCCAGCUAGGUCAAUACAGUAAAACGUUUGGAGACUUUACUGCAUAAGGUUUGUUUGGUAACAAAAUCAACAAUUCGUCUCCCAAAAUAAGAUGUCGAUAAUGCAAAAUGGGAAGGAAAAUAUUUAUCACUAUUAUUUGAUACCAAUUAAGAACCUUAGUGAUUGCACCAAGAAUACUCAAGACAUUGACAAAGCAAGAUGACCCAUUACAAUUAAGUGGAAGUCAUGGUCUUUUAUUAUUGACUGGUCACACUGAUAAAUUACCCUGGAAUCCUCCCGAAACCUACAAGACUGUCAUCCAUGAUAUAAAGCGUGCAUUUAUUGCAAGCAUGAAACAUUUUGUUUUAUUAAGUCAUGUGGUAGCCGCGUCACGAGAACUUCCUAAGGAAAAAAGAGUGAUUCAAGAUGUACAUGUUUGUCAAUUGAAAUAUCUCACGCAAACUCUGAAAGUUGAGUGAACCUUAUACUGUCUACAAAAUGCUGCAGUCAUAUCAAUUAAAAGUCACCUAUAUGAGGCUCACUUUGAGACCUCAGUUUCUACAGAGCAAGGUUGUCAAAUGAAGACGCUCCAUGUGACGUGACGUCAUGUACUAUAAAUAUCUUCCCAGAGAAGAUGUCACAUUUAAUUUAAUUCAUUAUCAAAGCAGUUCUUUGGCAUUGUCACAAUGAUGAUGAUACGGAUCUCCAUACCAUAAGCAUCCCGCGCAGAGCCCAUCCAAAAACUCCGAAAUUAGCUGGCCAUUCAAGUCAUGCUUGGCAAACGCGGCAGCGGCAUUUAAUCUGGAAGCUUUGCUUGUGUGAGAUGACAAAAGGCACUUGACGAUGUAGCGCUUAUACAAUACCAUUCAGCGCAAGCGCAUUUCUAGCCACGGUCUUUGGGGCGAACCUCCUGCUGAACAGUGAACUUCUUGACGGCAGUGAAUUACGACUGUGACAAAUCCAUGAGAAAAACUACAAGAGAGCACUAUGUACAAAAUAAUUUGUUGCUAUGAUCCACUGCUCCAAUCCACGUACAUUUUGACUGUAUCAAGGAUUACAGGGUUUUUAAAAGGUACACUUGCAUUAUUAGUUUAAUGUAAGUAAAUUCAUGGCAAAUGGUAGUGCUAAGAAAACAGGUAGACGAAAUAGUGUGGAUUAGCUGUAAAGACUUGGUUUACUUCUAGAUUAAAAUUUCUCAUAAGCUUAAUUCAUAUUGUUAUGAGUUAUAACAUGUUAAUGAUUGUUAAGUAGCAACAACCAUGACUUGAACCUAAUGUUAUUUAAAAGAAAAAUCCUUAUACGUCCUUACUUCUUUUCUGUGCUAACAAAUGUUCCAUUGCAAAUCCCCCGAUGUUUUAGCGUGAAAAAAUAAAUCUUUUUUGUUUCAACUAAUAUAAA
rnacentral:lncRNA from 1 species